rnacentral:rRNA from 1 species
GAUGAACGCUGGCGGCGUGCCUAAUACAUGCAAGUCGAGCGAACAGAUGAGGAGCUUGCUCCUCUGACGUUAGCGGCGGACGGGUGAGUAACACGUGGAUAACCUACCUAUAAGACUGGGAUAACUUCGGGAAACCGGAGCUAAUACCGGAUAAUAUAUUGAACCGCAUGGUUCAAUAGUGAAAGACGGUUUUGCUGUCACUUAUAGAUGGAUCCGCGCCGCAUUAGCUAGUUGGUAAGGUAACGGCUUACCAAGGCAACGAUGCGUAGCCGACCUGAGAGGGGAAUCGGCAACACUGGAACUGAGACACGGUCCAGACUCCUACGGGAGGCAGCAGUAGGGAAUCUGCCGCAAUGGGCGAAAGCCUGACGGAGCAACGCCGCGUGAGUGAUGAAGGUCUUCGGAUCGUAAAACUCUGUUAUUAGGGAAGAACAAAUGUGUAAGUAACUAUGCACGUCUUGACGGUACCUAAUCAGAAAGCCACGGCUAACUACGU